rnacentral:rRNA from 1 species
UGAGGAAUUUUCCACAAUGGGCGAAAGCCUGAUGGAGCAAUACCGCGUGUAGGAAGAAGGCCCGUGGGUCGUAAACUACUUUUCUCAGAGAAGAAUAAAUGACGGUAUCUGAGGAAUAAGCUCCGGCUAACUCUGUGCCAGCAGCCGCGGUAAUACAGAGGGAGCAAGCGUUAUCCGGAAUGAUUGGGCGUAAAGCGUCUGUAGGUGGUCGAAAAAGUCGACUGUUAAAUCCCAAGGCUCAACCUUGGCUUGGCAGUCGAGUACUUUUUGACUUGAGUGUGGUAGAGGUAGAGGGAAUCCCUAGCGUAACAGUGAAAUGUGUAGAUUUUAGGGAGAACACCAGCGGCGAAGGCGCUCUACUGGGCCAAGACUGACACUGAGAGACGAAAGCUAAGGGAGC